rnacentral:rRNA from 1 species
CAGCCGCCGCGGUAAUACCUGCAGCCCAAGUGGUGGUCGAUUUUAUUGAGUCUAAAACGUUCGUAGCCGGUUUGAUAAAUCCUUGGGUAAAUCGGAGAGCUUAACUUUCCGACUUCCGAGGAGACUGUCAAACUUGGGACCGGGAGAGGCAAGAGGUACUUGAGGGGUAGGGGUAAAAUCCUGUAAUCCUUUAAGGACCACCGGUGGCGAAGGCGUCUUGCUAGAACGGAUCCGACGGUGAGGGACGAAGCCCUGGGUCGCAAACGGGAUUAGAUACCCCGGUAGUCCAGGGUGUAAACGCUGCAGACUUGGUGUUGGAGAUCCUUCGUGGGUAUUCAGUGCCGGAGAGAAGUUGUUAAGUCUGCUACUUGGGGAGUACGUCCGCAAGGAUGAAACUUAAAGGAAUUGGCGGGGGAGCACCGCAACGGGAGGAGCGUGCGGUUUAAUUGGAUUCAACACCGGAAAACUCACCAGGAGCGACGGUUACAUGAAAGUCAGGCUGAUGACCUUACUCGAUUUUCCGAGAGGAGGUGCAUGGCC